rnacentral:rRNA from 1 species
GAUGAACGCUGGCGGCGUGCCUAACACAUGCAAGUCGAGCGAUCUUCUUCGGAAGAGAGCGGCGGACGGGUGAGUAACGCGUGGGUAACCUGCCCUGUACACACGGAUAACAUACCGAAAGGUAUGCUAAUACGAGAUAAUAUGCUUUUAUCGCAUGGUAGAAGUAUCAAAGCUCCGGCGGUACAGGAUGGACCCGCGUCUGAUUAGCUAGUUGGUAAGGUAAUGGCUUACCAAGGCGACGAUCAGUAGCCGACCUGAGAGGGUGAUCGGCCACAUCGGAACUGAGACACGGUCCAAACUCCUACGGGAGGCAGCAGUGGGGAACAUUGCACAAUGGGCGAAAGCCUGAUGCAGCAACGCCGCGUGAGCGAUGAAGGCCUUCGGGUCGUAAAGCUCUGUCCUCAAGGAAGAUAAUGACGGUACUUGAGGAGGAAGCCCCGGCUAACUACGUGCCAGCAGCCGCCGUAA